rnacentral:lncRNA from 1 species
AGGAGAAGCUCUCUGCUAUGUUUGGAGGUGCAUCCAUAGAGUGUCACCAGGUUCUUAUGCCUUAAGCGUGCUAGAAUCUCAACUUCAUUCAUGAAUUGCGCCACACGUUUAAAAUUGCUUUCGUAAUGGCGUUUAACUGCAACCACGCGUCCAUCUUUGAGAUCACCUGAUCAACAAUCAGAGGAUAUAUAGUUUAUAAGAAAACUAGAAAACUAAGGGAAAUCAAUUCUGUGAGAAAAUGUAUAUUGGAAAGUGGAAAUUAUAUUGUUAAUUACCUUUGUAAACAGUGCCGAAACCUCCCUCUCCAAGUUCUUUAGAAGUGUGGAAAUUGUUAGUAGCUUCUUCUAGUUCUUCAUAGGUAAAUACCUGGACACCAAAGUAGAAACUCUUUGGCAUUGUGCUGGUUUUGGAAGAGGGGUAAGAAGGAAUACUCUGAGACGAAUUAGUGGUGGAGGUUAGAGUGCCGGUGUUUGUGCCUGAGGUAGUGCUUGAAGGAGGCAUGUACAGGUCAUUGCUUAUUGGUUUCUUGGCAUUUUUCCUCCUUCGCCGCACCACAAAGCAUGCAACAAAGCCAAGAAGGCAAAGAGCUGCA